rnacentral:misc_RNA from 1 species
GAUGAAGAACGUAGCGAAAUGCGAUACUUGGUGUGAAUUGCAGAAUCCCGUGAACCAUCGAGUCUUUGGACGCAAGUUGCGCCCGAAGCCAUUAGGCCGAGGGCACGCCUGCCUGGGCGUCACACGUCGUUGCCCCCCCAUCUACUCCUUCGGGAUUGCGGGGGGCGGAUGAUGGCCUCCCGUGCGCCUCGUCGCGCGGUUGGCAUAAAUGCCAAGUCCUCGGCGACGCACGCCACGACAAUCGGUGGUUGCGAAACCUCGGUUGCCCGUCGUGUGCGGUCGUCGCGCAUCGAGGGCUCGAAAAAAUUGCCGGGCUCCGGCUCGGCUUUCAACGCGACCCCAGGUCAGGCGGGGUUACCCGCUGAAUUUAAGCAUAUCAAUAAGCGGAGGA